AACAAAGUGACCAGCCGGCCAAGAUGCUAAUCGUGCUAGACAGUGAGGACAGUGAGGAAGAGUCCAUUGAAGAGCAGCAGCCGGUUACGCCAUGGAAUGACCUGUGUAUUAUAGAUCGCGUAGGCUUCAACAGUGCUAAGAUGUCAGAGGAACAAGUGGAGGUAAGGCAAUCCAUCAGUAGUCCUCAUUAACAUGAUGUUAUG